rnacentral:rRNA from 1 species
UGGGGAAUCUUCCGCAAUGGACGAAAGUCUGACGGAGCAACGCCGCGUGAGUGAUGACGGCCUUCGGGUUGUAAAGCUCUGUUAAUCGGGACGAAUGGCUACCAUGCGAAUAGUUUGGCAGUUUGACGGUACCGGAAUAGAAAGCCACGGCUAACUACAUGCCAGCAGCCGCGGUAAUACGUAGGUGGCAAGCGUUGUCCGGAAUUAUUGGGCGUAAAGCGCGCGCAGGCGGAUCUGCCAGUCUGUCUUAAAAGUUCGGGGCUCAACCCCGUGAUGGGAUGGAAACUACAGAUCUAGAGUAUCGGAGGGGAAAGUGGAAUUCCUAGUGUAGCGGUGAAAUGCGUAGAUAUUAGGAGGAACACCAGUGGCGAAGGCGACUUUCUGGACGAUCACUGACGCUGAGGCGCGAAAGCCAGGGGAGCGAACGGGAUUAGAUACCCCGGUAGUCCUGGCCGUAAACGAUGGGUACUAGGUGUAGGAGGUAUCGACCCCUUCUGUGCCGUAGUUAACGCAGUAAGUACCCCGCCUGGGGAGUACGGCCGCAAGGUUG